rnacentral:lncRNA from 10 species
ACAGUACUCCCAGCUAUAGCAAGCGGCAGUUAUGGAGCAUGCGCAGCAGCAGGGGCGGCCGCAGGUCGCCGUUCAAUAAUACGUAAUGUAUAGACUUUUGAGUAUACGAAGCUCCCUGUUUCUCUAGGUUCACCUGAGAUUUAUCUGGUCUUUCAGGGCUUAAAAGGGAGACAUUCCCAAAGAAGAUUCCGUGGGAAGUCUCCUACAAGCCCCGAAGGAAGGGAAUCUCUCUCCUCAUACCUUGAGUUUCCUGAGUACAAUUAUUAUAGAUAUACGAAGAUCUCUGUGCUCAUGGAGAAUUUGUGUCAAGGGAUUUGUACAGCCCUGUAGGAGACACCUCCAGAGAAAGUAACAGCUCUCAAUUGAUUAGCUGAGAAGCCUCAGGGGCUGGAUCCUGACAUGAACCAGACACCUCCAGAAUUCUAUCCCAAGCAAAAGAUUAUUUCAAGGCCAGAACUCACUCCCUGCUGGAGACUGACUACAAGAUCCACUGAGAUUGAUGUGUAACCUGAUUGGGCCCACAGUGAUGCUAGCCCCUUCACCAGAUGGAACAAUAAUUCCAGACAAGCCAUCAGAGCAGGUCACACCACUUGACACCUUCUCGCCCCCUUGCCUCUCCUGCAUUCCAAACCCCUCUCUUUAAAAUCCCCAUGUUCCCUCCGUAAACUGGGCAGUGCCAAUUGUUGGAAAGAAUUCUGGCACUCUUUUCCUUCUUAGCAUGGAUAAAAAGAUUCACCCUCUUUUUAUCACACCUCACUCUUGUUAUUUUGGCUUCUUUCUACAAGUGGUGAGCAACCGGGCCCCCUUUGCUGGUUAUAGUAUGAACUAUUUUAUUUUUUUUAAUCUACAAUAAAAUAAAAUACAUUCAUUAGAUUUCAAAGUGGUGUUUAAUGGUUUAAGAAAAACUAGUUUUACAUUUGCAACUUGAAUAUAUUAGAUAUUAUUAAAAGCACCACAAUUGUUAAGUACUGCAGUACCUUUUCAUCUUUGAAAGCCCUUUAGAACAUUUGAAAACUCCACUGGCAUAGUUGAUACCUUUCUGGCUGUCUUUUCCCACUCCCCAUUGGGAGCACCUACCAUAAUAUUGAUAGAGUCAGGAGACAGGGAAAUUCUUAGCAGAAGAGGGUGGGUAUCUGGUGAGGGCCCCACUCUCAAGCCUGGAACCUGGCCCAAAGUGUGAACAUGCAUUCCUGUUUUCCUGCUCAAAUGUUGCCUUUUCCAAAACCACCCAUGGCCUGCCCCACCCCCAUCCUGUGCCCAUAAAAACCCCAGUCUCCACCAGCAGAGAGCAGAGAAGAGGAGAAGCAGCUGGAUGUCAGAGACUGCAGUUUGACGUUGGAGAAAAGCAGCUUGACUUCAGAGGGACAGCUUGACAGCAUGGAUUCAGAGAGGAGAAGAUCACCUUCCUGCUCCGUCCCCUUUCCAGCUCCCUUUCCCACUGAGAGCCACUUACACAGGCAAUAAAAUCCUCUGCAUUCACCACCCUUCAAUUCAUUCAUGCAACCUGAUUUUUUUCUGGAUGCUGAACAUGAGCUCAGGUACCAUGGGUGCAGAUGCAAAAGGCUGUCACACUGACCCUGUGCCCUUGCUGGCAGAAAGCAGCUGCCUCAUGCAAAAAGGCAGAGGGCCACUGAGCUGUCAACACGUAAGCCAUCUGCAGAUGGCAAAGGUAAAAGAGAGCUGACUGUAACACUCCUGGGGCUUCAGGGGUCACCAGUUCCCCUUGCCUGGAUGCUGCUUCAGGAACCACACGGAGUUUUGCUCCUGCUGGUGCCCAAAAGCACUCACACCAGCUCCUGCACCCACUCACCUGUGUGCGCCCUCCUUUGAGGGGUUGAGCACAACCCCUCACAGUUUGAGUAAGUGGAGUUUGCCCCUGUGAACACCAAAGUGGCUGGCUGACUCCAGAGCCCAUACUCCAGAUCCUGCCUGUGAAGGGAUCAGGGAAAAUUUCCUGCUUCAAUAUCUUAGAUGAAUUUUGGCUUUUACAAAAGACAGAAAGAGCUUGUUGAAUAUAAGUGACUUUUGCUUUUAAACUAAACUAAACAGCUACACAACUCUUCUGACAAAGGGAAUACACAGCAUGGCUUCUUGCUUGAAAUGUGGGGGGAGAGAAAACGAGGAAAUAUAGGGAGGACAGGCACAAACUGAUAAAUUAACUUUCUAUAGAUGUUUUAUACUUUUAUAAUUUUUCCACAUUCAAUUUUUUUUUCAGGAUUUUUAGCGUUUAUGUAAUCUCUUUCUAUCAGCAUAUAGUAAAUAACACAUUCAUUUAAAAACCCCAUAUCCUGUCUUAAUAGCAUUCAUAGCCAGAAGAUUUUCUUCUCUCACAAUUUUUUUUUUUUUUAAUUUGCUUAAAAUUGGUCUAUCCCUGAAAGUCAGUCUUUCAUCCUGGCAUCUGAGUCCAUGAAAAAGCCUUAAGUCAUCCCUAGUGACUUUAUAAUCAAAUUCCCUUCAACCAAAUCCUUGUGUGGGCAUUUGCUGACUUAAAAAUUUCCCAAUUGUGAAUUGCCCUUUAGGUUCUGGGUUCUGUGCUCUUCCCUUCAGAAAUUGUUUAGUGUUUUUCCUUCAGCAGAAUUUUCUUUUUUCAUGGAUCUUAAGGGAAUAAUUAGGCAUGAUAUAAAUUCCAGAACCUCUUUACCGUUCUUUUCCUGCAUUUGACAUUCAAUUUUCCUCUCCUAUUUAUUCAUUCAUUGUGUCCCUGUACCUUUUGCUACUUUUCAUUUUGACUCCUUUUCUCUGUGUGUAAAUGUUCAUUCCCUGAUUCCCAAAGUAAACGCAUGACAUUUAGUAUAAUAUUUGGUUGCUUUUCUGCCCCCACAUUUCUGCUGCAUCUUUGUUUUGCUUGUCUCCAGCCCUUUUCAGUUUGUUUGUUCAUACCUUUCUCAUCUCAAACAUAAUUUAUCCCUUUUACCAAACAUUUUAUCUUGGUGUUACUCCUUUUUAAGCUUUGACUCUCUUUUUGUUGGUCACGACUUACAAAAGUUUCGUCUGGGACAAAAGCAAUAGAUUGGCUCUCUGAAUUCUCAUUUGGUAUUUUAUGAUAAGGAAGAAUUAGUUAUUAUCCACAUUUUACAGGUGCCUGAAGAAGAUAUAGAAAGGAAAAUAUUAACAUCGUGCCUUAAACCAUAUGUUAAAUCCUUUUUUUUUUUUUUUUUUUUUGAGACGGAGUCUCGCUUUGUCGCCCAGGCUGGAGUGCAGUGGCGUGAACUCGGCUCAGUGCAAGCUCCGCCUCCCGGGUUCACCCCAUUCUCCUGCCUCAGCCUCCCGAGUAGCUGGGACUACAGGCACCCACCACCUCACCUGGCUAAUUUUUUUUGUAUUUUUUAGUAGAGACGGGGUUUCACCGUGUUAGCCAGGAUGGACUCGAUCUCCUGACCUCAUGAUCCGCCCGCCUCGGCACCCCAAAGUGCUGGGAUUACAGGCGUGAGCCACCGCGGCCGGCCUGUUAAAUCUUUUAGAAAGGCAAACUAGAGCAGAGAACUCCUACCCCCACAUCUAUUACAACCUGGUGCCCCAUCACCUGGGUCCAGGGACCAUCUUCAUUAAAAGUUGUCCUUUGUGCCUUUCUACUCCAAACUCACAGAUUUACAGAUUUGGGCCCCGGAAUCUCUAUUUUUAAAAGAAUUUCCAGGGUUAUUCUUAGGCACAGUAAAGUUAAAAAAAAAAUUAAGCCACUGAUCUAGCUCUGCCUCCUAAGAUAGCUGAGGAACUGAUCCUUUCUGUGCAUAUACAAUGUGUCUAAUAUAGUGCUCCAUUUUAUUCUUACAUAUGCAUAUUAUAGCUAGUCAGGAACAAAAUGACUUUAAACACUUGCCCCCAGGCAAGGGUGCAGGAGCAUGACUGAAGUUCUAUACUCAUAGUUGUUUAUUUUUUGAGACAGAGUUUCACUCUUGUUGCCCAGGCUGGAGUGCAGUGGCACGAUCUUGGCUCACAGCAGCCUCCAUCUCCUGGGUUCCAGUGAUUCUCCUGCUUCAGCCUCCCAAGUAGCUGAGAUUAUGGGCACCCACCAC